rnacentral:rRNA from 2 species
CGGUCCAGACUCCUACGGGAGGCAGCAGUAGGGAAUCUUCCGCAAUGGGCGAAAGCCUGACGGAGCAACGCCGCGUGAGUGAUGAAGGUCUUCGGAUCGUAAAACUCUGUUAUUAGGGAAGAACAUACGUGUAAGUAACUAUGCACGUCUUGACGGUACCUAAUCAGAAAGCCACGGCUAACUACGUGCCAGCAGCCGCGGUAA